GACGAACGCUGGCGGCGUGCUUAACACAUGCAAGUCGAACGGAAAGGCCCUGCUUUUGUGGGGUGCUCGAGUGGCGAACGGGUGUGUAACACGUGAGUAACCUGCCCUUUACUUUGGGAUAACUUCAGGAAACUGGGGCUAAUACCUGAUAGGAGCUCCUGCUGCAUGGUGGGGGUUGGAAAUUUUCGGCGUUUGGGGAUGGACUCGCGGCUUAUCAGCUUGUUGGUGGGGUAGUGGCUUACCAAGGCUUUGACGGGUAGCCGGCCUGAGAGGGUGACCGGCGACAAUGGGACUGAGAUACGGCGCAGACUCCUACGGGAGGCAGCAGUGGGGAAUAUUGCACAAUGGGCGGAAGCCUGAUGCAGCAACGCCGCGUGCGGGAUGACGGCCUUCGGGUUGUAAACCGCUUUCGCCUGUGACGAAGCGUGAGUGACGGUAAUGGGUAAAGAAGCACCGGCUAACUACGUG
rnacentral:rRNA from 1 species